rnacentral:tRNA from 1 species
GAGUGUGCAGUUUGGCGACCUUAGCUUUGCAAAAGCUACUGAGAAGUGUAUUUCUUCCACACUCU